AUGAUUCAGGAAUUAGUGAGUCAUUCAUCUGAACUGAUUCAUGAUUCACCGAGUCACUCAUGCGAACUGAUUCAGGAUUCACCGAGUCACUCAUGUGAACUAAUUCAGGAUUCACCGAGUCACUCCUGUAAACUGAUUCAGGAUUCACAGAUUCGUUCCUGUGAACUGAUUCAGGACUCACAGAUUCGUUCCUGUGAACUGAUUCAGGAUUCACAGAUUCAUUCUUGUGAACUGACUCAGGAUUCACAGAUUCGUUCCUCUGAACUGAUUCAGGAUUCACAGAUUCGUUCCUCUGAACUGAUUCAGGAUUCACAGAUUCAUUCUUGUGAACUGACUCAGGAUUCACAGAUUCGUUCCUCUGAACUGAUUCAGGAUUCACAGAUUCAUUCUUGUGAACUGACUCAGGAUUCACAGAUUCGUUCCUCUGAACUGAUUCAGGAUUCACAGACUCGUUCCUGUGAACUGAUUCAGGAUUCACAGAGUCACUCCUGUAAACUGAUUCAGGAUUCACAGAUUCGUUCCUCUGAACUGAUUCAGGAUUCACAGACUCGUUCCUGUGAACUGAUUCAGGAUUCACAGAUUCGUUCCUCUGAACUGAUUCAGGAUUCACAGAGUCACUCCUGUAAACUGAUUCAGGAUUCACAGAGUCACUCCUGUAAACUGACUCAGGAUUCACAGACUCGUUCCUCUGAACUGACUCAGGAUUCACAGAGUCACUCCUGUAAACUGAUUCAGGAUUCACAGAGUCACUCCUGUAAACUGACUCAGGAUUCACAGACUCGUUCCUGUGAACUGAUUCAGGAUUCACAGAUUCGUUCCUCUGAACUGAUUCAGGAUUCACAGAGUCACUCCUGUAAACUGAUUCAGGAUUCACAGAGUCACUCCUGUGAACUGACUCAGGAUUCACAGAUUCGUUCCUCUGAACUGAUUCAGGAUUCACAGAGUCACUCCUGUGAACUGACUCAGGAUUCACAGAUUCGUUCCUCUGAACUGAUUCAGGAUUCACAGAUUCGUUCCUGUGAGCUGGAGGUAUGGAGUGAGGUGAGUGUGUACCUGGCAGCCGUCGUGUGUGGGCUGGAUGUAAUGUGCGUUCUGCUGCGUCAGCUCCUCUCCGUUGCUGCCUCUGAAGCGCAGCGCGUGUCUGUAGCUGAGGGAGGUGCUGUCGAACCAGCCGUUCGAGUUCUGACACACGUAUGUGAAGCUCUGACGAGCCGUGGCACUCAAGAGCUUCAGGAAGCCCAGCUGCACAAUGUGAACAGGGUUUCCAUCCACAUCCACAUAAGAGAACUACACAACACAGACAGACAGAGUGUGAAUGAGAGGAUAAAGACACAUAACACACACACACACACACACACACACACCUGUGAGCCCUUCUUAAACUGA
rnacentral:lncRNA from 1 species